GAUCGAAGCGUAAAUCACCGAGGCGUUCAAGACCUCUUCUCAGACAUUUUGUACUCCGAGGAUCCAGUCGAAAUAGUAAAUCUCGAGAGUUACAAUGAAGAAAGCUCCCCUGGGAGUGAAAGUGACGACGAAAAUGAGAAGGUUGGGAUGGAACCCAAAUACCAGGGAAUCUCUAAAAGUUUUGUACAAAGUCUUCACGAUUCCCAGGCCCGAGUUUCGGAUGGCUCGAAGGAACACAGAUACUCAAAUCGCCUCGUUGGAAAGACCUGAACCCUAUCUGCAUGCAUAUCCAGAGCUCCAAAGGUCGAGUGGGCUAAAAGUACUACGACGAUAUUUGAGCGCAAGAAAUGCUGGAAAUAAAUCAACAAGAAGUGAAGAACGCCGCCACCCUGAAGAAUGAGGCACUUCCUCAAGAUUUCGAGCAAUUCAGGAAAAAGCCCCCAUCAAGACUGAAGCCUCUUUCCGCUUCCUCGUCCAAUUCUACGUCCAAGUAGUCUUUCUUUGUGAUUCAUUCAGUAAACUGACUAAAUGAAUUCUACGAGAAACGCGUCUUGGA